UGAGCGGGGGCAACAUUUGGAAACGAAUGCUAAUACCGCAUAACAACUUUAAACACAAGUUUUAAGUUUGAAAGAUGCAAUUGCAUCACUCAAAGAUGAUCCCGCGUUGUAUUAGCUAGUUGGUGAGGUAAAGGCUCACCAAGGCGAUGAUACAUAGCCGACCUGAGAGGGUGAUCGGCCACAUUGGGACUGAGACACGGCCCAAACUCCUACGGGAGGCAGCAGUAGGGAAUCUUCGGCAAUGGACGAAAGUCUGACCGAGCAACGCCGCGUGAGUGAAGAAGGUUUUCGGAUCGUAAAACUCUGUUGGUAGAGAAGAACGUUGGUGAGAGUGGAAAGCUCAUCAAGUGACGGUAACUACCCAGAAAGGGACGGCUAACUACGUGCCAGCAGCCGCGGUAAUACGUAGGUCCCGAGCGUUGUCCGGAUUUAUUGGGCGUAAAGCGAGCGCAGGUGGUUUAUUAAGUCUGGUGUAAAAGGCAGUGGCUCAACCAUUGUAUGCAUUGGAAACUGGUAGACUCGAGUGCAGGAGAGGAGAGUGGAAUUCCAUGUGUAGCGGUGAAAUGCGUAGAUAUAUGGAGGAACACCGGUGGCGAGAGCGGCUCUCUGGCCUGUAACUGACACUGGGGCUCGAAAGCGUGGGGAGCAAACAGGAUUAGAUACCCUGGUAGUCCACGCCGUAAACGAUGAGUGCUAGAUGUAGGGAGCUAUAAGUUCUCUGUAUCGCAGCU
rnacentral:rRNA from 1 species